AAUUUUGCUUCGCGAGAUUGUAUCAGCCGUCUUGUUCCGCGCGUUUUUCUCGUUUUUCUGGGAUAAGUUAUCCCCAAAUUAAGUUAUAAAAGGCGAAACAUUAAUUUCAACACACACCUCAUAAAUGUCGCUUCACGUCGGAGAAAUGGUGGCUGAAAAGAUUUGGCCCCGCUGGGGGAGAACGCUUGCAUUUCAGCAAACACUACCAUCGGUCCUCAAAUGCGACAAGCUCCAUUAUCGGUGUUCCUGUUGCGGCGUUCCACAACAGGAACAGAACAUUCACCCUCAAGCGCCUUGCUAACAUUGCAAUAGGAUGGCCUCAAUUCUCUUGCCGGAAGCGGUCAGCGGUAAUACGCUGCCAAUUGCCGUUCCAGGUCGAGGGUAUAACGAUGUGUGAUAUGAUUAUGAUCAUUGUGUGAUAUAAGAAUUAUGGAGUAGAAACAAAGAAAUCAAAUAAAGUAAUUAUUUUUGAAACCUUA